GCGGUGAUGACACUAAUUAAACGCACGUGUUAGCUGCUGACGAGGGGUGAUGCGAACUAGUAGAGUCUGGC
rnacentral:snoRNA from 1 species